GGACCUUCACCUCGGGAACCAGAAGAAGAGGCUGCCCCUCUCCCUCUACCUCUGCCACUGCCCUGAGUUGUGGCUGAAGCUGCUGGCUGUGCCACACUACCAGAAGCUGUCUGCUGGGGCUGGCCCAUAAAAGGUGCUCUGGGACACUCCCGAGCCAUGUGUCCCUCCUGUCCACAUCUGAAACAUGUAUCAGUCCCAGCUCGACACACUCCCUUGUGUGGCCUCCCACACCUUUGGCAUUCUGUACCAUCU
rnacentral:lncRNA from 1 species